ACGGAGGAUGCAAGCGUUAUCCGGAUUUAUUGGGUUUAAAGGGUGCGCAGGCGGAAUGAUAAGUCAGUGGUGAAAUCCUACGGCCUAACCGUAGAACUGCCAUUGAUACUGUCAUUCUUGAGUACAUAUGAAGUGGGCGGAAUGUGUCAUGUAGCGGUGAAAUGCAUAGAUAUGACACAGAACACCGAUAGCGAAGGCAGCUCACUAAAUUGUAACUGACGCUCAUGCACGAAAGCGUGGGGAGCAAACAGG
rnacentral:rRNA from 1 species